AGCGAUUCAAGUUCAUCUCCAAGCCACCUAUCGGAAGAAACUGUAAUAUCGGCUUAAGAGUUUCAUCAUUUAUCUAAUAUUUAUUUCAACAUUAUGGAUAGUGAUUACUGCCCUAAAAUAACGAAAUCAAAGGUGUUUUGUUGUGUUUAUGGAUGCAACAGUAGAGCAAACAGAGAACCCGUUUCAUUUAAUAAGUGGAAAUAGAAUAACUGGAAUUUUAUUUCAAAAAAUAUAUUAAUUUUUCAAUUAUUCAUUACAAAUAUGGUGUAACAUUUUCUCAAUAUAGUUUUUUUUCAAAGAAGUUAACAUAU